CCUACGGGAGGCAGCAGUGAGGAAUAUUGGUCAAUGGGCGCGAGCCUGAACCAGCCAAGUCGCGUGAGGGAAGACGGUCCUAUGGAUUGUAAACCUCUUUUGUCGGGGAGCAAAAGACGCCACGCGUGGCGUUCCGAGAGUACCCGAAGAAUAAGCCACGGCUAACUACGUGCCAGCAGCCGCGGUAAUACGUAGGUGGCAAGCGUUAUCCGGAUUUACUGGGUGUAAAGGGCGUGUAGGCGGGAAAGCAAGUCAGAUGUGAAAACCAUGGGCUCAACCUGUGGCCUGCAUUUGAAACUGUUUUUCUUGAGUACUGGAGAGGCAGACGGAAUUCCUAGUGUAGCGGUGAAAUGCGUAGAUAUUAGGAGGAACACCAGUGGCGAAGGCGGUCUGCUGGACAGCAACUGACGCUGAGGCGCGAAAGCGUGGGGAGCAAACAGGAUUAGAUACCCUUGUAGUC
rnacentral:rRNA from 1 species